AACGUGCUGUCUAAGCCUCAGUUCGUGAGACUUUGCAAUUUUAGAGAUCUCAUUUACCAAUGAAAUUACGCUUAAACCACUGUGCAGAUCAGCAGAUCUAAUGUACCACAGAGCAUUAACUAAAGUUCAUAGUACCUUACUUUGAAAGCGCUGAAUGCUGGCAAUACAGCUUUGACUUGUAGCAUAGUUGGGCUCCGUAGGCCCAAACUGGCUUUAAGACUUGAUUAAUAAUAACAGUUUGUUUUGUAUUGAUAGCGUGGAUUUCCUGACAUGCCCCAGCGUAUCUUAGCAUCUAAGGUGAUACCUAGGUAAUUAGCACUGUUAUGAUGUGGUAUAGGAAUGUUUUUUUGUAUAAAUUGGACAAAAUGCCGGCUUUUCAUGGCAAAAUCGACAUGAAUUGAUUUGGUGUCGUUUAAUUUUAUGCGCCACUUAGAUGCCCACUUAGUAAUUGCGUUGAGUGCUGUUUGCACUCGUCGACUAGAUACUGAAGUUGUCUCUCCAUCUGCUAAUAAAGCUGUGUCAUCCGCAAAUGUCGCUGUCAUAUACAUAUGUAAGUAGAAUCAGAUGGUAGGUCACUGGUAAAAAGCAAAUAAAGCAUUGGCCCCAACACGCUUUCUUGGGGAACACCCGUUUUUAUUGGUUGCAAGUUUGAAUAUGUAUCCUCUUGUUUAAUGUGGAAGUAUCUAUCUUUUAGGUAUGAAGAAAUUAUUUCACAAAAUUGUUUGGGUAGCAUGUAUUUCAAUUUGAGCAGUAGACCCGUAUACCAAACUUUGUCAAAAGCUUGAGACACGUCCAAAAAGGCCGCCGUACAAACGUUUAUUUAUCGAUUGUAUUUUCAACGAAAUUAACGAUUCGGUGUACCUAAUCAAUUGUUGAAUGGUGGUCAGUGAAGCCAAAUUGAUGUGUUGGUAUUAGAUGUUUAUGACCGAUUAUUGGUUUAAGUCUAUUUAUGAGUACAUUCUUAAAGAUUUUAUAUAAAGCUGGCAGCAGCGAAAUUGGUCUGUAUGAUGUAACAUCGUGUACUGCAGAGAUAAAGAGAUCCCCAACUCCUCUCUCACUGGAAGUGAGAUAGCAAUUGCUAAACGUCAAAACCUACCAAACUUUGACAGUUGACUGCAUUGAGUAGGUGUUGACGUUGCGCAAUUGGAAGAAAAGAGACGACCGGAUUGAAAUCCCGCCAAAAUAAUAUUAGAAUGGAGGAAUUCAUAACGGCCAUCGUUUCUUCACAGAAAAAAGAAUUAGGAAAAAGUGAAGUAGUGAAGAACAAGUGAAUAGUGAAUGAAGUGAAUGAGUUUUGUUUAAAUAUAUAAAUUAUAAUAAAUAUAAAUCAGCAAAUAUAAACGUUAGUACCAUAAAAGUAAUUUGCGUACAUAAUUAUAUGUAAAUCACAUAUUAAUUUACAAUGUGGAAAAAGUGCAUUGUGGGCUGCAGCGAGGGAAAUACCGUAUUUAGAUUUAGGCAAGUAAUUUUAAGAAAUUUAGACUAUAUAUAUUGUGCAAAAAGUGAAUAAUGAAUAAUAAAAAUCCGGUGUAACAAUUUUUUUUAAAAAGCAGAAAGAGUGUAAUAGAAUUAUCGAUAAAUUUCGAUAUUUUGAAAGUUAAUUUCUUAAAUAUAGGGGUAUCAGACCAGCCUUGUUAAUUCGUUAGUCGUUAUUCGGUAGUUUUUUACAUAUAUUUUGUUUUUGUAAAAUUAACAGACUAUCGUUCUACCGAGUAACGAACUAUCCAUCUGGCAAGCUUGAAUUACCAAAUUAACUGGCUUCGGUCUGAAUACCCCUUAUAUAAAUCUAACGUUAAGACGGGAAAGGAAACUGUGAGCUGCCUUUAGAACCUGAUGCUACAGUAAUUUCGGAACAUAGUAAUAAUGUUCUACUUAAUGUGUGUUCACUAUUGAAUAAGUCCUGUAACAGCGGACAAUACUUCCAGAAUGAAUCAAUAGCAGAUCCUGAAAAAACGGACGCAGCAAAUUUAUCAAGAUUCAAUUCAUGAAAAAGUGGAACAAGGUACAAAAGUAUAAAUCCUGAAAUAGUGGAUAAUACUUUCACCAAGAUUCGCAGUUUCUGAAAUAGCGGACAAUGUUGAAUCCUGGAGGAGAUAAAACAAAAAUACCAUAUUCCCACCAAGUGGAGACACCAGCAUCACUACAUACCAAAUUAAAGGAUGAAAAAAACAGUAAAUAAAUAACAACAAAAAAAUCUUUGGGAUCAAUCUCAACAACGACGAUCUCCAUCAGUCCCAAUGGACGUGGAUCGACUUUGUCAAACAAAAAAUCAGCAAUUGGUUAAUGACGGAAUGACACAGCCAAUAAUUCCAAAAAAAGCUAAACUAACUAAAAGAAAAAUUCAUAUGAAAAACGAAAAAAUAAUUAACUAUAUAAUAUAGAAAGGUAUUAAUUAUAAACAUAAAAAAUUAAUCAAACAUAAACAAAAAGUGAAAAUUUCCACAAAUACAGGCAAUAAUUCCAAAAAAAAGACACCGAGACAAAGAAAAAGACAACAAAAAAGGAAAAUGGUUGUUGAAUUCCAGAAAAUUAAAGCUAAUUCAAAACUAAAUUAUAAGAGAAAAGAAAACAUCAUAUAAAUCACGAAAUAAUAAUUAAGUAUAUAAUAUAAAAGUUAUUAAUUAUAUAAAAAAUUAAUCAAACACAUACACUAAUUAAUAAUUAUACGCCGAGACAUGUAAUAAGUUAGUCUUAAAUAAAUAAAGAGUACACAUUUCGGUGCGGUUCAAAAUAUGUACUUUUGCCGAAAUUAUUGCCGAAAAAAUAAAUUAUACUCAAACCUACAUAUGUACACAUAUGCGCACACUUGUAAAUAUGUCACCCACAAAACCUACGAACAUUGUUCUACAAAAACAACAAUCGUCUCAAAUAGCAUCAGCAGCGUCAUAAGUCAAUAUGGCAACCAAACAGUCGAUGCCCAAAUUUAGAGUAAAAUGCGCAUUUUCAUUCAUGAGCGCAAGAGCAGUUUCAACAAGCAAAGACGAUUCAUUCAUAAAAGCAGACACCGUCACAUCUCCCCGAACAUGCCUUUACCUAAAAGCGACAAUGGCAAAAUCUAAAAAUCAUAAAUUGAACAAUUUCUGAUGUUUCUUCUGGAAAAGAAAAGUGUCAAUCCCGCAAAGCGCAGAAAUAAGGGACAAAAGUGGCAACAUGGCUCUUGUCGAUUUGAUAUAUUUUACAAAUCCAAAUUAUUUUUCCUCGGCUCGCAAAAAUCUGCGUCUAUAUGUAUACAAGCUCAAACAUAAACUUAUAUAUUUAUGCUGGCUUGAGGGCGAAGCUGUUAUAUAAACAGCACAUAAAACGAAAGUAUAGGUAUAACUUUAAAUUAAUAAAAAUAUUAAAUUUCUUUCUGUAACUUUAGGCUCUUGGUUCUACUGUGAGCUCUUUGUUAGUUUCUGUAAUUAUUUUCUUAAUAUUCUGUUUUCAACUCACAUUUAAAAACCAUCGCGAUCCUGCUACACAGGUAUGCAUGCUGCGUAAUGCCUAAAAAACUAAUUUUUUAUUUAGUUAGUGCUUUUAUGUGACGCUUAACCAUUUCUAAUUUGCUGGUGUGACGUCAAAUAACGUGAAAUUGUGUGUUUAUAUAGAAAUUCUGAUGUGUGCAGUUGUAUAAAAUGUACGUUGCUUGUCCAAUUGACCUUUGCCAGAAUACGAUUCAACAACACCAUGGUUGCAACAAUUAUGCUAAUUUUUCGUUUAAUGGCCUUGUAUAAAUAAAGAACAGUUUUUAAAAUCACUUCAGUCCAGAAAAAAAAAAUAUAUCACAAAAUGUUAGGUGGACACUUUCAACAACAAAUGGGCCAACUUUUUGUACAGCAUUUGCAAUUAACUACUGUAGGUGUAAUGUUCCCGAAAAUUGCUGAACAUAUUUUCAAGUGUUUGCCUUUAGUUCACCAACUCGGACGCUUUGAAGAAAUUAAUGGGUAUGAUUGGCACCAGGGAUAAAGGGUUGUUAAACUUAUUCCAGUGUGAGAGCGCCUCAAAAUAAGCGUUUUUUAUAACAUUUUCCAUUAUGGCCAGAUUGGACAAAAUACUAAUUUUUGGACAUUUAAAUUAAAACACCCAACAUUUAGUAAGAAUAAAAACUACUAUUUAGUGGUUAUUUAAUACCUAGAGAAUCAAAUUAAAUCUUUGUAUGGCAUGUUAAAACAACUGACUUUUGACUUUUGAAUACCCAAUAAAAGGUUUUAAGCUUUUUAGCUCUUAAUCAAUAAAUGUUUUUAAUAAUUUCCCAUCGAAAAUAAUACUAUGAUGCUUGAUAUUACAAAAUGUUUUAUCAAAUACAUUUACAUUUCAUAAAUUUAUUUAAUUUUCAUUGUUUUACAUUUUUUGUAAGUGCAACAAAUCUCUCCGUUUACAUAUUUUUUUGGUAAGAUUUCAAUCUGGCCAUCGCUCGUUUCUAAUUGCUAAACGUCAAAACCUACUGAACUCGAUUAGCUGUCAAAGUUCACUAGGUUUUGACGUUUAGCAAUUAGCAAAGGAGUUAAACAUCUCUUUAUCUCUGAUUGGCACACCAGUCAGGGCAUUGUGACGAGUCCGUCGGCGGAAUGCGUGAAAAAAGAGCGAUCAUUGUAUAACCCUACAAGUAACAAAAGAAUCAGCUGUUUUCCAAGAAUUUUCCACAGCUGAGAUCACCUGAUCGAAAUCUGCCUUUUUUAAGCACAGAGAUGUAAUUAAAAGAAAUGUAGUAGAUCAACUUUUUAGUGAAAAAGUAUUUGUAACGGAAAACACUAAUAAAAACUUUCAAGAAUAUUUUUGAAACAAA